GGCCUCAUAGCUCAGGAGGUUAGAGGGUUGACUGCAACGAAGCCUUCUCCUUACUGUCGUGGGUUCGAAUCCCACUGAGGCGG
rnacentral:tRNA from 1 species